GAAGGUGGCCUGUGAGGGUUGCUGGAGGUAUCAGAAGUGCGAAUGCUGACAUAAGUAACGAUAAAGCGGGUGAAAAGCCCGCUCGCCGGAAGACCAAGGGUUCCUGUCCAACGUUAAUCGGGGCAGGGUGAGUCGACCCCUAAGGCGAGGCCGAAAGGCGUAGUCGAUGGGAAACAGGUUAAUAUUCCUGUACUUGGUGUUACUGCGAAGGGGGGACGGAGAAGGCUAUGUUGGCCGGGCGACGGUUGUCCCGGUUUAAGCGUGUAGGUGUGUGUUCCAGGUAAAUCCGGAACAUCAAGCUGAGGCGUGAUGACGAGGCACUACGGUGCUGAAGCAACAAAUGCCCUGCUUCCAGGAAAAGCCUCUAAGCAUCAGGUAACACGAAAUCGUACCCCAAACCGACACAGGUGGUCAGGUAGAGAAUACCAAGGCGCUUGAGAGAACUCGGGUGAAGGAACUAGGCAAAAUGGUGCCGUAACUUCGGGAGAAGGCACGCUGACACGUAGGUGAAGUGAUUUACUCAUGGAGCUGAAGUCAGUCGAAGAUACCAGCUGGCUGCAACUGUUUAUUAAAAACACAGCACUGUGCAAACACGAAAGUGGACGUAUACGGUGUGACGCCUGCCCGGUGCCGGAAGGUUAAUUGAUGGGGUCAGCGCAAGCGAAGCUCCUGAUCGAAGCCCCGGUAAACGGCGGCCGUAACUAUAACGGUCCUAAGGUAGCGAAAUUCCUUGUCGGGUAAGUUCCGACCUGCACGAAUGGCGUAAUGAUGGCCAGGCUGUCUCCACCCGAGACUCAGUGAAAUUGAACUCGCUGUGAAGAUGCAGUGUACCCGCGGCAAGACGGAAAGACCCCGUGAACCUUUACUAUAGCUUGACACUGAACAUUGAGCCUUGAUGUGUAGGAUAGGUGGGAGGCUUUGAAGUGUGGACGCCAGUCUGCAUGGAGCCGACCUUGAAAUACCACCCUUUAAUGUUUGAUGUUCUAACGUGGACCCGUGAUCCGGGUUGCGGACAGUGUCUGGUGGGUAGUUUGACUGGGGCGGUCUCCUCCUAAAGAGUAACGGAGGAGCACGAAGGUUGGCUAAUCCUGGUCGGAC
rnacentral:rRNA from 1 species